UUGAGCAUCAGUUGUGGCUAUCACCGGGGUUUUAAUAUUUCUUGACUUUGAAACGUGUUGUAAACUUCGCGACAAAUCUGUAACAGUAUAAGCGGUGCAAGAAUGCUUAGCAACAAUUCAGAAUGCAAGAAUUCUUUUUCGUGGUAAGAUUGAAACAGAAGAAAUAAGGUGUCUCGACUGAAGUAAAAGGUAAACGACAUAAUUUAAAGAUCGAGUUUGUUCUACUUUUUUGGGCGGCUUCCAUCAUAGUGUAUUGUCUUACGAUAUUAUUUUACAAAGAGGGCAAAAAUUUAUGUAGACUCGAACUUGACUCGGGCGCGAAGUUGACUUGUGAAACGAUUUAACUCUAGUUUACCGCGCAAGUUGUCUAAGUUAUUUUAUUAUUCGAGAAAGUGCUAUUAUCAAUUUCGUUUCAGAAACAACCUGUGACUCUAUUGACCUUACUCUAUGAUUGGUCGAGAGAACUCGUGCCAACAUCGCAACCCACACGGAGGCAAAAGUGAGACCUGUAAAAUUAUGAUUAAUCUUAGACCUUCCUGCGAUCGCAACAUCUCAGGAUUUAAUGGAUUGUAUGGAACUCCAAGAUGCCAAGACCUGUAGUGAAGGCCAGUUCGCUUGUCACAAUCAACGUUGCGUUCCAUUACGUUCGAAAUGUAAUGGUUCUUCUGAGUGCACUGACGGGUCGGAUGAAAUUGGAUGUCGGCAUAGGGAAGCCCCGGAUUGUCCAGAGAAAAUGUCUCGCUGCGAUGGAAGAUGCAUCCAAGGUCAUUUGAAAUGUGAUGGAACAAGUGACUGUCGUAAUGGAUCCGAUAAUAGAGGAUGUCGUGAGUACACAAAUAGUUUAUUAAUGAAUGAGUUGUGAAAUGAAUUUUUUCUGUUUCCUCUUACCGUAAUGAUUCGAUUUAGCACCCUCGUUCAAGGGUGCCCCCAAGAAUUUGGUUUUGUCAAUAAUUGCCCGUAUUCAAAGACUUUAUAUUGUCCUUCAUUUAUGAUUUAAGUAAUUUUUCGAUGAGACAAUCGAAUCCUAAGCGAUAAAUAAUAAA